GACAGAGGUGCCGAGCGUUAUGCGGAAUCACUGGGCUUAAAGCGUGUGUAGGCGGAUCGUUAAGUACCUUGUGAAAUCCCACGGCUUAACCGUGGAACUGCUUGGUAUACUGGCGAUCUUGAGCCACCUAGGGGCAACCGGAACAAAUGGUGGAGCGGUGAAAUGCGUAGAUAUCAUUUGGAACGCCAAUGGUGAAAACAGGUUGCUGGGGGUGUGCUGACGCUGAGACACGAAAGCCAGGGGAGCGAACGGG
rnacentral:rRNA from 1 species